UGAGGAAUCUUGCGCAAUGGGCGGAAGCCUGACGCAGCGACGCCGCGUGGGGGAUGAAGGCCUUCGGGUCGUAAACCCCUUUCGGCGGGGAUGAAGCCGCCGGGCGACCGGCGGUGACCGUACCCGCAGAAGAAGCGCCGGCCAACUACGUGCCAGCAGCCGCGGUAACACGUAGGGCGCGAGCGUUGUCCGGAAUCACUGGGCGUAAAGGGCUCGCAGGCGGCCUGUCGCGUCGGCCGUGAAAGCCCGGGGCUCAACCUCGGAGGCGCGGUCGAUACGGGCAGGCUAGAGGGCGGUAGAGGGGAGUGGAACUCCCGGUGUAGCGGUGAAAUGCGCAGAUAUCGGGAGGAACACCGGUGGCGAAGGCGGCUCCCUGGACCGUACCUGACGCUGAGGAGCGAAAGCGUGGGGAGCGAACAGGAUUAGAUACCC
rnacentral:rRNA from 1 species